AACCUUACCUGGUCUUGACAUCCACAGAACUUGCCAGAGAUGGCUUGGUGCCUUCGGGAACUGUGAGACAGGUGCUGCAUGGCUGUCGUCAGCUCGUGUUGUGAAAUGUUGGGUUAAGUCCCGCAACGAGCGCAACCCUUAUCCUUUGUUGCCAGCGGUCCGGCCGGGAACUCAAAGGAGACUGCCAGUGAUAAACUGGAGGAAGGUGGGGAUGACGUCAAGUCAUCAUGGCCCUUACGACCAGGGCUACACACGUGCUACAAUGGCGCAUACAAAGAGAAGCGACCUCGCGAGAGCAAGCGGACCUCAUAAAGUGCGUCGUAGUCCGGAUUGGAGUCUGCAACUCGACUCGCAUGAAGUCGGAAUCGCUAGUAAUCGUGAAUCAGAAUGUC
rnacentral:rRNA from 1 species